rnacentral:rRNA from 1 species
AGAGCGAACGCUGGCGGCAGGCUUAACACAUGCAAGUCGAGCGGGCGUAGCAAUACGUCAGCGGCAGACGGGUGAGUAACGCGUGGGAACAUACCUUUUGGUUCGGAACAACACAGGGAAACUUGUGCUAAUACCGGAUAAGCCCUUACGGGGAAAGAUUUAUCGCCGAAAGAUUGGCCCGCGUCUGAUUAGCUAGUUGGUGAGGUAACGGCUCACCAAGGCGACGAUCAGUAGCUGGUCUGAGAGGAUGAUCAGCCACAUUGGGACUGAGACACGGCCCAAACUCCUACGGGAGGCAGCAGUGGGGAAUAUUGGACAAUGGGCGCAAGCCUGAUCCAGCCAUGCCGCGUGAGUGAUGAAGGCCCUAGGGUUGUAAAGCUCUUUUGUGCGGGAAGAUAAUGACGGUACCGGGAGAAGAGCCCGGCUAACUUCGCGCCAGCAGCCGC